rnacentral:lncRNA from 1 species
AGGCAGAGACAUGAAGGCUGGCGCUCAUCUGACUUUCUUCUUUUUAUGGAGCCCAGGACCUUAGGCCAUGCCACAGCAUCAUCCAUAGUUGAUUAGUUAAUGUGACCCUGAUAAUCCACACACACACACACACACACACACACACACACACACACACACACACACACGCCAGAAAUUUGUCUUUUCAGUGGCUCUAGCUCCUGUCAAACUGACUAUCAAUAUUUAUCACCCAGGCCUUAUCUAAAUGCACAAGCCAUUGGAAGGAGCUCAGUUGAGAUGGCAUGGCCAGGCUUGCAUUUGAGAAAUUUGAAUCAAGGGAGAUUGUCUGGGCAAGAGCAGAGCAGCUGGCAGACCCUCUGCUAUCUGUGGAGAUUCAGCUUCUGCAGGGGAGAGGAUGAUGCACCCAGUUUUGGUCAGGCUAUACAUCAUACACCUGAGAGACAUUCAGGAUCAUGGUCCAAGAAAGGAAUCUGGAAGGAGGUGUUUCAGCCUGGCUUCAAGAAGUUAGCAUAGUUAUAAACAGAACCCAUGGAGGUGGUUGAGAUUGCUUGUUUGAAUGGGACAUCAUACAAAGCCUUGGCCCAAAAGAUUCUGGAAAUACAAACUAUGGAACAGAAAGAAACACUUGCAAAUCAAAUAUCAGAUAUCAAACAUCAAAUACCAAAGGUUUGUCUCCUGAUUAUACAAAGACCUCUCCAAAGUCAAUGAGUAAGAAUAGUCAAAUUGAACAUAUUAUUGGAAAAAGACUUAUAUAGAUAACUUCACAAAAUUGGAC